rnacentral:tRNA from 1 species
GCGGCCGUGGCGGAAUUGGCAGACGCGCUAGAUUCAGGUUCUAGUGGGCAAAACCCGUGGAGGUUCGACUCCUCUCGGCCGCAUCA